rnacentral:rRNA from 1 species
UACGUAGGGUGCAAGCGUUGUCCGGAAUUAUUGGGCGUAAAGAGCUCGUAGGCGGUCCGUUACGUCUGCUGUGAAAACUCGGGGCUCAACCCCGAGCCUGCAGUGGAUACGGGCGGACUAGAGUGCGGUAGGGGAGACUGGAAUUCCUGGUGUAGCGGUGAAAUGCGCAGAUAUCAGGAGGAACACCAAUUGCGAAGGCAGCUCGCUGGGACGUUACUGACGCUGAGACGCGAAAGCGUGGGGAGCAAACAGG